CAGAAAGCAAAACUGCGGAUGGGGAACCAGUGUGACUGAUAUGACUGUGCCUCAUUUUCAGAGCUGUCCGUACGGCAUCAAUGUUCUAUCCAUCAAGUCAUCUGGUUCAUGCGUCUCAUCUGUGUGGUGGCUGUGAAGGACGCCCCUGGAACCUUCCCACCUGCCCCAGAAUAUGCUGGACAUGGUCAGCACCUGGCUCCUGUCAACCUUCCAUCUCCAUCACCGGCCUCUGGAGAUUCCCUACUCCCAUGUGGUGUUGGAACUCUGUUUUUGAUCCAUGCAUCCUUCUUUUGGAGAACUACACCCUUCAGAACUUACCAAGGAAAGAUUCUUUGGGGGCGAAGGACACGGCGACAUUACAGAGAGCUCUCUCGAAACGGCUCCCACGAGAAAACAGCGAUGUCCAACUCACCAUGGUACAAUAGCUCGCCUUAGCCACAACUCCACUUGCUCUUCUGGGACUCAGGAAGGCCUUAAAAUGUGCAAAAAGAUGAUGACAGAGUAAGCACGGAAGUCUACCAGUCACAGGCGCCUAGUACGUUUAGUGCUCACACUCCAUUCUGCCUUGUCAUUUGAGAGACUUUGGAGGCUGCAUUGUAAGAAACGGUUGGCUGUGGAAAUACAUUCCUGUCCAUUCCCCUUACUACUUUUGCGAUUAAUUCCCUAUGUUGCAUUUUUCUCAUGAAUAAAGCAGAAAUUAUAACUAUUGAA